AUGGUUGAUACCGUAGAUGAUGUGGAGGAAAACUCCGAUGUGAAUCCGAUCUCGUCUACGGGCGAUGGGGGAACCUCGGUCUCUCGUGAGGAGUUCAAUGUGGCCUUGGAGACAUUGAAAACCUCCAUGACGACCGAGGUUGAAAGCAUGUUUACUAAAUUCCUUGAAGGGCUUAAACUAUCCACCGUAUCAUUGAAAGUGGGUGAUCCAACCGACAAGGUGACGGGUGCUAUCUCCGACAAGGGGGAAGCUAGUAGUGAAAAGGCUCCUUCUUUUAGUGGUAAAAAUGGCACCGACAUCUUUGCUCAUGUGGAACCACCACUUGUUUAUGGUGGACCGGUUCCUUCCACUCAUUUGAAUCAUGCCGGUCCUCCCCCUAAGAUUGUGAAAAAUGAGGACUUUGAUUCUUGGGUUUACCGCUUUAAGCGCCAUUUAAAUCAUGUGAACACUAAUCUUUGGAGAAUCAUUGAAGAAGGUUUUCAUCUGCAUGAUCCAAGCAACUUCACUCCUCGAGAAGCCGCGGAUAACCAAUUCAAUGAGAAUGCUCUCUUCAUCAUUCAAGAUGCAAUUCCACCCGAAGAUCUACCUCAUCUUCGGCCCUUCGACUUGGCCAAAGACGCAUGGCUUUAUGUUGUCUCGCUCUACCGGGGAAGCACAAGCAUUCAACGCUCCAACUAUGAAGUGGUGCAAGAUGAAGCCGAUGAGUUUGCAAUGAAAGAAGAUGAAGAACCUCGUGAGCUUUAUCGGAGAGUAACCAAACUCGCGGUCUUACUCCGAGGUCAUGGGAGCAAGGACACGUAUGACAAUUGGAUCAAGCGCAAAUUCCUCAAGGCAAUGAUGCCUUACCACAAGGCCAUGUCCUUCGUCAUUCGUCAAAGGCCGGACUUCCACACUUUGACCUCAAGCGAAGUGUUGGAUGAGUUUGUGACCAUGAACAUCUUGGACAAGACCGCUGACAAUGCGGUGCUUCGUUCUCAAAGGGCAAAGAAGCCCAACCUUGCAUUGAAGGCCAAGGUCUGGAUUGAAGAAGAAGAAGAGGAAGAAGAGGACAGCAACCCCGAAGAUACAAAGUAUGCAUAUCAUGAACACAUGGCACUUGCUUCAAGACAUUUUUGGAGCAAGAAAAACUCAAGGCCAAACUUUAACAAAAACAACUCAAGUGGCACGAAGAGCAAGCAACGUGUAAGGACUUGCUACAAUUGUGGCAAUGUGAGUCAUUUUGUUGCGGAGUGCCCGUAUGAGAAGAGGGAAGACAAUGGUGGCAAGCUCAUCCGAAAGGACAAGGCCAAGUCGUUCCCCAACAAGAGCAACUUCACCAAGAAGACU
rnacentral:rRNA from 1 species